rnacentral:rRNA from 1 species
UAGUCCACGCCGUAAACUAUGAUCACUCGUUGUUGGCGAUAUACUGUCAGUGACUAAGCGAAAGCGUUAAGUGAUCCACCUGGGGAGUACGAUCGCAAGGUUGAAACUCAAAGGAAUUGACGGGGGCCCGCACAAGCGGUGGAGCAUGUGGUUUAAUUCGAUGAUACGCGAGGAACCUUACCAGGGCUUUAAAUGGGCUUUGACCGUCCCGGAAACGGGACUUCCCUUCGGGGCGAAGCUCAAGGUGCUGCAUGGUUGUCGUCAGCUCGUGCCGUGAGGUGUCGGGUUAAGUCCCAUAACGAGCGCAACCCCUAUUCUUAGUUGCCAGCGGGUAAUGCCGGGAACUCUAAGGAAACUGCCAGCGCAAGCUGUGAGGAAGGUGGGGAUGACGUCAAAUCAUCACGGCCCUUACGUCCUGGGCUACACACGUGCUACAAUGGCCGGUACAGAGGGCAGCUACCUGGUGACAGGAUGCAAAUCUCGAAAAGCCGGUCUCAGUUCGGAUCGGAGUCUGCAACUCG